GACGAACCACACAAACGUUAUUCGGAAUUACUGGGCUUAAAGGGUGCGUAGGCGGCGCGGAAAGUAGGGUGUGAAAUCCCUCGGCUUAACCGAGGAACAGCGCUCUAAACUACCGUGCUCGAGGGAGAUAGAGGUGAGCGGAACUUAGGGUGGAGCGGUGAAAUGCGUUGAUAUCCUAAGGAACACCGGUGGCGAAAGCGGCUCACUGGAUCUCUUCUGACGCUGAGGCACGAAAGCUAGGGGAGCGAACGGG
rnacentral:rRNA from 1 species